GGGUUACACUUGAUCUCUGAACUUCAGGUAAGUUCACUUGUUGACAUUUCAUGUACUGAUGC
rnacentral:snoRNA from 1 species